ACAGGCAGCCGGAUAGUCGCAUUACGGAAGGUAAAAUCCGCGGAUGAGGAAAGUCCGGGCUUUAUGGAAACAAAACACCAGAUAACGUCUGGCUGGAGCAAUCCAAGGGAAAGUGCCGCAGAAAAUUACCGCCAAACACUGCUUUGGUAAGGUUGAAAAGGCUAGGUAAGAGCUCACCGCAAAAUUAGCAAUAAUUUUGGCAUAGGUAAACCCUGUUUGAAGCAAGACCAAGUUAGGAGAGCUUUUUUAAUAAAAGUUACAUGGGGCGUUUCCACUCCACUCCAGAGGUAGGUCGCGAUGAGCGUUGCAGCAAUGUUUCGCCAAGAUGAAUGACUAUCAUUCCAACCUUUGCUGCGCAAAGAUAGUGGAAUACAGAACCCGGCUUACAGGCUGCCUGUUUUU
rnacentral:RNase_P_RNA from 1 species